CUCAAGGGCGAAACAAGCAGACGCGGAUUCAGUUAUUCAAAAACAAAUCACGUGAUCCCUAUCCAUUCGCUCGAGCUUCGAUUCUGUCAGUGCCACCGGAGCUCCUCCACACACACCGCCAUGGAUGACACCAGGAUGAUCCAUAUCCUUGUCGCAAUCGUCGCUUGAACGAAGAGCUUUUCAUGAAACUCUCAACGCCAGAGUCUUCAUCUUUUUGUCUCACCGGAUCGCACCAAACGCUUGCUCAAAAAACAACUUCGACUCACCAAGAUCCAUUCACUACUCACGUAUGAAACAAAAAGUAACGACAUAGCAUCGUGAUAAUACAGUUUGUAAAGAACUUACCGUAUUCGAGCCUGGAAGAUUCCACUCUUCUUGUUAAGAGUCCCACAUCGAACAAUAUAUGGCAUGAACAUGUGUUUAUAAGUGGGGGCAAUCAUCACUCUACCAACCGGUUUUGUAGGGUUGAGUUAGGCCCAACCACAAUUCUUAACAUGGUAUCAGAGUCUUGUUUAAGAUUCGGUGGGCCACCUACUAUGGUUUCUGCUAUCGGGCCAUCCACCAUUUAUGCUCCAUAUGUCCAGUCCUGGGCGUGAGGGGGUGUGUUAAGAGUCCCACAUCGGACAAUAUAUGGCAUGAACAUGUGUUUAUAAGUGGGGGCAGUCCUCACUCUACCAACCGGUUUUUUAGGGUUGAGUUAGGCCCAACCAUAAUUCUUAACACUUCUUACUUCGGACUUCCUUCCCUUCUGGUGAUGCAGAACAGGUGUUGAAAAUCCGUUGCAGAAAGUCCAGAUUGAUGUAGAACAGAUUGUGAGUUGGAUGCAGAUGGUUGAAGACUUUGCAGAAUCGAAGCUUGAUGAGCCUGAUGAAGAUUGAGAUAGAGAUUCAGAGCUAUCAACUGGCUUCGUAGAACUUGAUGCAGAAGGCUUCUGGAGAUUGUGCAGAGCUUGGGAUUGUGCACUUUGAUGUUGAGGUUUGCAGAACUUUGAUGCAUUGUGAGAUCUUACGUAGAGAAUUGAGAAUUUGCUGAGCUUGGUAAAGAUUGCAAUCUGAACCUCGAUGCAAGAAGUAAUUAGGCUGAUGUGUUAUGAAAUUCUGAAGGAUGGCUUGCUUCUAUUGGAAAUGUGUAUCAUAGGCUAUGAUUGGUCUAAAGGUGUCAUGAAGAUUCAUGGGCAAAGACUUAACAAACAAGGCCUACUUGCAUAUGCAGCAAGUUUUGGAUGAGAAGUCACAUGAGCACGUGGAAGAGUGAAGAUACCAUAGGAAAUUAGGAUUGUCAAUGGUUGGUUUUCAUGUAAACUCUUUAAAAAACUGACAUUGUGUCAUAUGAAAAAGAAACAAACUUGGUCUUUUGAAGAAUACGGUGAUAUGAAGUAUGAAGUACAUGAAGAUGGUGGAUGAAGAUGAAUGUUAAUGCUUUAAGAAUCUAGAUUAGCACCUAGGUUACAUGUUAUUUUGUACUAGUUUGGAUUGUUCAUUAUGUAAAUAUGUACUAAAAAUGGAAAUUUUAUGAAAUUGUAUGGAAGGCUUUGAAAUGGUA